UACAGAGGUCCCAAGCGUUGUUCGGAUUCACUGGGCGUAAAGGGUGCGCAGGUGGUUUGGCAAGUUUGACGUGAAAGCCCCGGGCUUAACCCGGGAAUGGCGUUGAAAACUGCUUGAACUGGAGAGUUGGAGGGGGGACUGGAAUUCUUGGUGUAGCAGUGAAAUGCGUAGAUAUCAAGAGGAACACCAGUGGCGAAGGCGAGUCCCUGGACAAACCCUGACACUGAGGCACGAAAGCCAAGGGAGCAAACAGG
rnacentral:rRNA from 1 species